rnacentral:lncRNA from 1 species
UUUUUAGCAACAUUCUUGUGCCCAUGUAAGAUCUUCUCUUGGCAAGAUAUUAUGUGAUGUGGUAGUAUUAGAACGUUGUUUUUCAAAAAUAUGAUGUUACCGUUUAUCUUUUGUUCAUAUAUAAUUAUCAUUGGAGAUUGCUUAAAAAAAAUUAAUACCGUAAGAUUCAUAACAAUAAGUUGGAUUGAAAUAAAAACUUCAAUGGUGAUGGUUUUACAAGUGUAUGAGCAAUAUGGGUUGACUUGUCUUCUACUAAUAAAACUAAUCAUAUGGUUUUAAUUUAAAUGCAAAUGAGUUUUACAUAGAUGUCCAUAGUUCAAAUACAAUUGCUUUCGCCUCUUGAGAAGUGAUAUUUGCAUUCCCCAUCUUGUUGAGGAUAUAACGCAAUAUCUACAUUACAUUUGAGCUCACCAAUAACCUGUUUCCGCCGUUGUACUCCCAUAAGCUUCACUUCACAGUCAUUGUUCUAGUGAAACAAGGCUCUUUCCGAGGUUGAUUGGAUUCCUUCGCCAAGCUAUUGGGUAAAUCUGAUACUGAUAGUGUUGUUAGGGUUCUGUGGGUAUCUCGACAUGUGGAGGAUUUUUCAGAGACAUUAGCUAUACCUUUAUUGGUUGUGUAUUGUUACAUCCUUACGGGCAGGAAUCCUCCCCAACGAGGAUUUCAUGGGAGAUUAAACUGUAAACACUUUUCCUGGGAGAGGAUCCGCACUGCAGCCUUACAUUCUAAGCUAACUACUAACAUAUAGUUGUAUUAUUUGAACAUCAAAAUACAGACACAUAUGUGAAAGUAUAUAUUUUAUCUUCAUCGUCUACAACUUACACACAUUUUAAAAUACACACAAAAAUCAAAUGACAAUGUAUUUGACAUAAAAAAAUUGAUGUGUAAAAAUUGAUUUGACAACUUACACACAUAUGUUAUUUAUGUACAUGAACAAUAAAAACUAAUUAUACCUAUGGUGAAGUAUCCAAUACUGCAACUUACACGUAUCAACUAUCAAGCUCCAUUCAUUCUAUAACUCAACCUUAAUUUAAUUUUUUACCUUUGAAAUUGUAAAAGGCAAAAUCUGGUUCAAAACUGAAUGUCUUUGUUCUCACCAGGAUAGCCAUUAUAGUGGAGUUUGACAUGCAGUGA